GAUGAACGCUGGCGGCGUGCCUAAUACAUGCAAGUCGAGCGAACAGACGAGGAGCUUGCUCCUCUGACGUUAGCGGCGGACGUGUGAGUAACACGUGGAUAACCUACCUAUAAGACUGGGAUAACUUCGGGAAACCGGAGCUAAUACCGGAUAAUAUAUUGAACCGCAUGUUUCAAUAGUUAAAGACGGUUUUGCUGUCACUUAUAGAUGGAUCCGCGCCGCAUUAGCUAGUUGGUAAGGUAACGGCUUACCAAGGCAACGAUGCGUAGCCGACCUGAGAGGGUGAUCGGCCACACUGGAACUGAAACACGGUCCAGACUCCUACGGGAGGCAGCAGUAGGGAAUCUUACGCAAUGGGCGAGAGCAUGACGGAGCAACGCCGCGUGAGUGAUGAAGGUCUUCGGAUAGUAAAACUCUGUUAUUAGGGAAGAACAAAUGUGUAAGUAACUAUGCACGUCUUGACGGUACCUAAUCAGAAAGCAACGGCUAACUACGUG
rnacentral:rRNA from 1 species